rnacentral:misc_RNA from 1 species
AUAAUUUGUCAUUACAUUUACUUACCAGUAAAUACGAUAGAAAACGGCAAAAUAUGUUCAAUCCCAUUACUCGUACAUCAAGGAAUAUGUAAGAUGAUUAAAAAAAACCAAAGAUUCUAAAUUUUCCAAAUGCAUAAUGGAAUUUGUGUUGUAUAUGGGUUGUUCAUAUUAUUUGCAUAUACUCUUGAUUAUACAUGUACUUGAUUACUACUACAAAUUUAGUUACUCUAUUGGGUUUUUUUUUAUGGGAAGGGGGGGAAUUCCCAAGGCUCCUGUUAGUUUUUGGUCUUCAACUUACCAUAUGUUUGUAGUAUCUUUAAAUUGUACAAAGAUUUAAAGAUCACUGAGUAAGAAUAAUGUUCAUAUGUAUUUGGUCUUUAUGAGUGGAAAUAAUGAAUGAAUAGAGAGCCUUUUAAGUAACAGUAUAUGUGAUUAUCAAAUGCACCAAUAUCUGUACAUUCAACAUAAAUAGUGAGUAGGACUCUCGGUCUUGGUUAACACCACAGUGAAGGCGAUCUACUUCAUCAUCUGUGUAAACUAAAGAAUUGUGUAAAUACAGUUACUGUGUAACACUCAGAUGUUUUACAUUCUAGAAUGAGUAGUGGUUGAUCCGCACUUAUGAUUUGUACAACUGGUUGUUCAGCUAGUAUAAAUUUUUUUUAAAAAUACUUGUAAAUAUAUUGAUGUGUUACAAGUUGUCCAUAUGUCAAAUGAAAUAAAGAUACAGAUGGAG